rnacentral:tRNA from 2 species
CCAUGGCUCAGUCGGUAGAGCGACGCACUCGUAAUGCGUAGGUCAUCGGUUCGAAUCCGAUUG